UGAUCGACCUCCAAAGGAGACUAAGAAGAUGAAUUUCGAUAUUGAAGAUUUGGAUGGUAAGGUUUUGCGGUGUACUGUGUGGAAUGAUUAUGCUCUGCAGAUUAAGGACUUCAUUUCUAAAGUCCCACCUCAUGAGCAUGUGAUGGCUGUUAUACAGCAUGGAAAGUGUAAGGAAUGGAAAGGUGAAUAUACUGUUCAAAGUGACAAGUUUGCAACACGUAUUUUUCUGAAUCAAGAAAUUGAUGAAGUUGAUGAACU